rnacentral:rRNA from 1 species
GAUGAACGCUGGCGGCGUGCCUAAUACAUGCAAGUCGAGCGAACAGACGAGGAGCUUGCUCCUCUGACGUUAGCGGCGGACGGGUGAGUAACACGUGGAUAACCUACCUAUAAGACUGGGAUAACUUCGGGAAACCGGAGCUAAUACCGGAUAAUAUAUUGAACCGCAUGGUUCAAUAGUGAAAGACGGUUUUGCUGUCACUUAUAGAUGGAUCCGCGCCGCAUUAGCUAGUUGGUAAGGUAUCGGCUUACCAAGGCGACGAUGCGUAGCCGACCUGAGAGGGUGAUCGGCCACACUGGAACUGAGACACGGUCCAGACUCCUACGGGAGGCAGCAGUAGGGAAUCUUCCGCAAUGGGCGAAAGCCUGACGGAGCAACGCCGCGUGAGUGAUGAAGGUCUUCGGAUCGUAAAACUCUGUUAUUAGGGAAGAACAAAUGUGUAAGUAACUAUGCACGUCUUGACGGUACCUAAUCAGAAAGCCACGGCUAACUACGU